CAGGGGCGGGGCUUCCAGGGGCGGAGCCUCCUGUGGGGCUGGGACCCGGUAUCCAGCCGAUGUUCGAUGUUCCGGACCUCGGAGCUCGCUUCCCAGGCCCUUCCGGCGUGGUCCCUGCAGGGCGGUGGGCGCCGGCGGAGGUGCCCCGGGCUCGGCCGUUCCCGGUGGGGCGGAGGCUGCGCAGCCCCUUCCGCAUCCCACGGCCGUCGGUCCGCCUGGAGUCCCCCAGGGCUCCCACCCAGCUUCGCAGCCAGGGACUCCGUAAUCGGGGCAGGCGGCAGCCCAGCCUCACAUCCCACCGCUCCCCCCCAAAUGUCCAGGUGUCGCUUCUGCUCAGCUAUCCUUUGUAUAGGGCUCACUGCGCCCAGCCCUGGUCUCAGCAUUUCCCACGGGAAUCCUUACCACUGUUGUAGGAGGUUGGUACUGCAGGAGAGGUGACAGACACAGGGGCUAAUGAACUUGCCUGGAGUCACACAGCUGAUGAGAAUGAAGCUGGACUCUGAUCCUGGCUGCCCGUUGACUGGACUCAUCCACUGAGCCCCUGCAGGGCUGCUGUUUCCUCAGAAGCUGUUUGGGGCCCACAGAGGAGUAAAGCCCUUGACUUGCAUGUUAACAAACUCACAGGAUACAUUUGAAAUGUGAUCCAGGCGGACACUUGCAAACCAGAGGAGUCCCGGGGAGCAGGGUGGAGCGCACCCUGAAAGGAGAUGCUGGUCUGUAUCUCAAAAGAAAGGGCAUCAGAAUGUGCUGUUAAAGAGAGCAGACCCAAAAUGGAGUCACUUGUGCUAAGUCCAUCUCAUCAAACACGACUUAUCCUAAUUGCACUCUUGGACUCUCCCAGGAAUAUGACCUUUAACCGCUCAGCUUGGAAUUGCCUGGUCAGCACCAGUGAGGUAAAGCCCAAAGACCCCUUUCAUCCCCCAAAACAGGGUGACCAAAGUCUGAAACUAUCCACUCUUUGCUAGAUAUUUCCUUCCCCUGCCCCCUUUCUGUCAAUAGAAACCUUCCCCUUUCUGCAGCUCGCAGGAGCUCCUUUCUACUCGCUAGAUGGGAUGCUGCCCGAUUCAUAAAUCAUUGAAUAA